rnacentral:rRNA from 1 species
AUUGAACGCUGGCGGCAGGCCUAACACAUGCAAGUCGAACGAGUGGCGGACGGGUGAGUAAUGUAUGGGAAACUGCCCGAUGGAGGGGGAUAACUACUGGAAACGGUAGCUAAUACCGCAUACACUGGGAUGGGCCGAAUUGGGAUUAGCUAGUUGGGGGGGUAAAGGCCCCCCAAGGCGACGGCCCCUAGCUGGUCUGAGAGGAUGACCAGCCACACUGGAACUGAGACACGGUCCAGACUCCUACGGGAGGCAGCAGUGGGGAAUCUUGCGCAAUGGGCGAAAGCCUGACCCAGCAAUGCCGCGUGGGUGAAGAAGGCCUUCGGGUCGUAAAGCUCUUUUAUUAGGGAAGCGGUACCUAAACAGUAAGCCCCGGCUAACUACGUGCCAGCCGCCGCGGUAAUAC